GCGAGAGUGGCGGAAUUGGUAGACGCACUAGACUUAGGAUCUAGCGCACUUGGUGUGUGGGGGUUCAAAUCCCCCCUCUCGCA
rnacentral:tRNA from 1 species